rnacentral:rRNA from 1 species
AUUGAACGCUGGCGGAAUGCUUUACACAUGCAAGUCGAACGGCAGCACGGGGGCAACCCUGGUGGCGAGUGGCGAACGGGUGAGUAAUACAUCGGAACGUGCCCAGUCGUGGGGGAUAACGUAUCGAAAUUUACGCUAAUACCGCAUACGAUCUACGGAUGAAAGGGGGGGACCGUAAGGCCUCGCGCAGUUGGAGCGGCCGAUGUCAGAUUAGGUAGUUGGUGAGGUAAAGGCUCACCAAGCCGACGAUCUGUAGCUGGUCUGAGAGGACGCCCAGCCACACUGGGACUGAGACACGGCCCAGACUCCUACGGGAGGCAGCAGUGGGGAAUUUUGGACAAUGGGCGCAAGCCUGAUCCAGCCAUUCCGCGUGCAGGACGAAGGCCUUCGGGUUGUAAACUGCUUUUGUAUGGACCGGAAAGGCUCUGGUUAAUACCUGGGGCUCAUGACGGUACCGUAAGAAUAAGCACCGGCUAACUACGUGCCAGCCGCCGCGGUAA